GGUUGUUGAAAUCAAAUUUAGGGACUUUACUGACGGGACUCUGGGCUGGCUGCUCUGUUCACUCGUCAGCGCAAGUGGCGUGACCAUGUAAUUGGGGCACGGGGCCGGCGCGGCGCGCUGCGGGCUUGCAGAAUUUUGUUUGUUUGUUUGGCCGCGCGCUGGCGCAGCCACGGGCCGCAGUUACUGGGGCGCGCUGUCGUAACAAGCCGCGCGGUGUGGCCUGCACAUUGGGGUAGAGGGGGGGUAGUCUUCCCAGAUGUUCUAGUUAGUUGUUUAGUAAAUUUGACUUCAAUAACGAGCUUUUGUUAUGGUAGGCGCGGCAGGGCGCGCGAAUUUAAGCGCAAGUGAGUAGGAAUUCAGGCUCACUCAGGCGGAGGCUAUGCGUCUCACCUGUGGUCACGAGUUGUUAGUUCGUUCGUGAUGUAGGAAUUCAGGCUCACUCAGGCGGAGGCUAUGCGUCUCACCUGUGGUCACGAGUUGUUAGUUCGUUCGUGAUGUAGGAAUUCAAGCUUUCGGGCGGAAGCUAUGGCCGACGCCAGAGGCCACGAGUCGUUUAAUUUAAGUUAGGUCAUAAUGUAGUCGUCAAGCUUUCGGGCGGAGGCUAUGGCCCUCGUCAGGGGUCACGCGUCAUAGUUUUUAAAAUGUAAUGUUCGUUCGGGAUUUCAAGGGCAGGAGAGGCCCCUACGUUAUUUUUUUAAAGUAAUCGAUCAAGAAAGGCUUUUCGGAAAAUGUGAGUAUGGACUUAUCUUUGUUUUAAUUUUAAGUAUUAAUUAUGAUUUGAGGUAUUCGGAAGGACUAGGGAAGUGUUUAGUGAAGUUCUCUCAUUCUCUCUCUUGUAAGGUCGUUCGUUCAAUCGUUAAGGAAGUAAAGAGAUUAUUGUUUUAAAUUGUAAUCCCGCUAUUUAAAUGUUCUUUAAAAUGAUGUUGAGUAUUUGACUUUAAGAAUAAAAUAAUUUUAAUUAAGUAUUAUGUUAUUUUGCAAAAUCUCCUUAGUUCAGCUCUCACCAGACAUCCUGUACGGGAUGACGAACCUAUGAUCCUAGGUACAGUAAAGUAUUUUAUGAAGUUAAGACUAGUUGAUGCCAAGCGAGUUGUUUCUAUGUAAAGAGCUACGAUUCUCGCCCCCCCCCCCCCCUCUGAAGGUGGAUCGUGACAGAAAUGGUAGAGUUCGCCGGAUAGGUUCUAUUUCUGGAGAGAGAGAGAGGUAGAUUUUUAUGUUUAUUAUUAAGUUAGUUUCAGCUUCUGAUAGCAGGUUAUUAAGAGUUUACUUGAGGAGAGGAUUACGGAAUUUUAGUCUAUAGUGGAGGAAGUCUUUGAGAUUUUUUUUUGACGUAACAUAUGUUUAUUUGAGUAUACUUGUAAGGAUAAAGUUUAUAGUGAUAAGUUGUUUUAAGUCGUUGAGUUUAUCAGGGAUUUUUACGUGAGGAGAAUACGUUAUAAUUUAAAUGAUUAAUAGAGAUAAUGCAAGUGGUUUAAUUUAAUUGAAAUUAAUUUUAAGAUUGUAGGUUAAGAGAGUUAAAAUUUAAAAUAAAGUUUUUUUCGUAAAUAGGAAUUAUUUUCAAGUGAAGUUUGUUUUGCUGUCGUGCGCGUAGGAGACGAGACGUACGAAUUAAAUCAGUCGAGGGAAGGAUAAACGUUAGAAAGGAAUUAAAGAGAAAACGAGAGUUUAUGUAAAAGAGAGUUAUAGAAUUUAUAGUGAUGUUUUGUUUUAAUUAGAAAAAUGUUGAGAGUUGUUUCAGAACGACACGUCAGUGGACGUGGCAGAAUGAACACGAGACGGGGAGGUGCUGAGACCUAGCGGAGAACGGAGGAACCGCAAGCGAGGGUUGGCGCACCUGAUGGAAUUCGGUGACGUCACGGGCUCAUAAGGAGACGUGGACAGGCCGUGACCUUGUUUUGAUCAGCUGUACGGUAACUUAGCGAUAAGAAAAUAGACUAUUGGUUAAAUAAAUUUAAAUUUAAGUGUGUUUUAGAAGAAGAGGAACUUUCAGUAUAUUCCUUAAGAUGAGCUGAGCAGCAGUCCAGUUUACAAGAUGACAAGAGUUCGAGAGACAAGAUACAAGAUCACUGAAACAAGAGCCAAGACUGAAGAUUCAAGAGAAGAGAAAGCUGGCAGCCAUGGACUUACAAGUGGAGAUUAAUAAGGUCAUGUAAAGUUUUAUUUUUUUAUGGAAGACAGUAACUGUUUUUUUUUUGUUAUAAACAUUAUUUACAGAACUUUUUAGGUUAUAGUAAUGUAAUGGAACUAGUGAGUUGUGGUAGCUGUCAAAAAGAACUAAUACCUUAAGUUUAAUUUUUAAAGUUAAUUUUCUUAAUUUACAGAGGGAUUAGUAGUUUUUUUUAAAACCUUAUUUAGGUUGGAAUUUAAAUACAAUAGCUUAUUAUAAAUGUGUACGAACAGUUCAAGUUCACAGUACUGAUAGGUAGGUCAGAUGAUCUUAUUGAUUUUGAUGAUUUGUUGUUUUGAGUUGAUUUUUAAGUGUUGUGAAUUAGACAAUGAAAUAGUUCUGAAAACUUAAAUUAUUUCAAGCUAAGAAAUAGUAAAGUUAAUUGUAACUCAAAGGACACCAGAAUUUAAUUUUUUUUGAAUUAGUAAUGUUUGAAAAUUUUAUACUUUACAAGAAAGGUUAUAAACAAACAGAUCGGAUGGAACAAGGAUGCAGUAAAUCACAAUUUCAUUUAGAAUUAUUGAUUAGCUUUUGAGGUUAUGAAGUAAAAGUAAUUAUAGUUUAAAAGUUUGAAUAAAAAAAAAUGUUUUUUUUUUUAAUUUGUUUGAAAUAGAAAGUUUAAAAGUUAAUUAGUCAUGAUCUAGGUGGGUGAUGGGGUGGGAAUUGGCCACUCUUUUUCCCUAUAACCUCCCUAACAUGGCCUUCUAUUACAACUAACAGAAAUAAAGAAGAAGAAAAAUGAAGAAUUAUUAGUUAGAAUGUUUCUUUCAUGAAGAUACCUGAUGAACUUUUACUGUUUGGAAGAAUAGAAGCAAGGUUAGUCAGAUAUUUUUACUCAGAAGAAGAAGAAGAUAAAGCAGUUUUAUGACUCGACAAGCCAGAGAUUGGUGUUUCCCCUCUGCGCUUCUAUUGACUACGUUGUUUACUCUCAUGGGAUAGCUGGUUCGGCACCAUGGAGAGAGAUUGGUGGGCAUUGUGGUUGCCCCCAGAAGAAAAGAAGAGUAGAAGAGGUUAUGGGUGGGUCAUGUGAACUGACCUUCAACCCAGUUACUUCGUGGGGACUAUUUGCUGUAUAGAGAAGAUCAAGACUCAAGAGUUAGGGAAAAUCAUUGGAGGUCAUGUUUCCCUUCCUUAAGUUUUUCCUAUCAAAUUAUUUGCCUGAUUAGAUUAUGCUAAGGGUGGGAUACUUUAUGUUAGCAGUUGAAUUAAUUAAUUUUAUUUUUUUGUGUGUUUGCAUCCUUGCCCAUCGAUUGCAGUUUAGUAGUUAGUUUUGUAUUUGUCAGGCGUGAUGGUAAUGCCUGUUGAUGAUGUUUCAGAAUUGUAAUCUGUUCGUGAUGAGGAUGGCACAACUCCGAAGCAGAUGUGGGGAGAAGUUGUGAGCUGCCCUGGAAGCCAGUCCAGUAGCUGUUGGAGUUGAGUGGUGUUUGCUGAUGGCCAGCCCAGGGAGCUACUCUUCUCGACAACACUGACUUCGAGGAGUUGCACCAACCUUCACGAGAUAAGAGUUUAAUUAAUUGAAACACUGUAAGGACACUUAAUUUUUUUUGAAGAACGAAAGAAGUAUGGUAAUAAACGGAAACCGAAAAAAAAAAAUAAUAAUAAUUAUCAAGAAUUUGCACAUUGUUUAACGAAUACUGAGAAACUAAGAACAGUAAUUUAAUUUGUAAAGAGAGCUUCACUAACAGAACAAUUUUUUUAGAAUUGAGAACUCGAGCCUCUGAAGGUUCCUGUGAGAACAAACCAGAUAAAAGUUUUACAUUUAAUUUUAUGAAUACUUGUUGUUUUAAAAUAAAUCUUAUGCAGAAUCUAGAUGUAUGUUCAGACAGCAAGGAACUAAGAAAAUUAUUAUUUUUGUGAAAUGAGGAAUUUAUAGUUAUGGUUUAAUGGAAAAAGACAAUUUGUAAUUUUGAGGUAGCUCGAUGGGGCUCGAGCUCUGUGAGGGGAGGGUUAUGUCGCGGGUUGAAAUUUUGCAGGGUUGUUGAAAUCAAAUUUAGGGACUUUACUGACGGGACUCUGGGCUGGCUGCUCUGUUCACUCGUCAGCGCAAGUGGCGUGACCAUGUAAUUGGGGCACGGGGCCGGCGCGGCGCGCUGCGGGCUUGCAGAAUUUUGUUUGUUUGUUUGGCCGCGCGCUGGCGCAGCCACGGGCCGCAGUUACUGGGGCGCGCUGUCGUAACAAGCCGCGCGGUGUGGCCUGCACAUUGGGGUAGAGGGGGGGUAGUCUUCCCAGAUGUUCUAGUUAGUUGUUUAGUAAAUUUGACUUCAAUAACGAGCUUUUGUUAUGGUAGGCGCGGCAGGGCGCGCGAAUUUAAGCGCAAGUGAGUAGGAAUUCAGGCUCACUCAGGCGGAGGCUAUGCGUCUCACCUGUGGUCACGAGUUGUUAGUUCGUUCGUGAUGUAGGAAUUCAGGCUCACUCAGGCGGAGGCUAUGCGUCUCACCUGUGGUCACGAGUUGUUAGUUCGUUCGUGAUGUAGGAAUUCAAGCUUUCGGGCGGAAGCUAUGGCCGACGCCAGAGGCCACGAGUCGUUUAAUUUAAGUUAGGUCAUAAUGUAGUCGUCAAGCUUUCGGGCGGAGGCUAUGGCCCUCGUCAGGGGUCACGCGUCAUAGUUUUUAAAAUGUAAUGUUCGUUCGGGAUUUCAAGGGCAGGAGAGGCCCCUACGUUAUUUUUUUAAAGUAAUCGAUCAAGAAAGGCUUUUCGGAAAAUGUGAGUAUGGACUUAUCUUUGUUUUAAUUUUAAGUAUUAAUUAUGAUUUGAGGUAUUCGGAAGGACUAGGGAAGUGUUUAGUGAAGUUCUCUCAUUCUCUCUCUUGUAAGGUCGUUCGUUCAAUCGUUAAGGAAGUAAAGAGAUUAUUGUUUUAAAUUGUAAUCCCGCUAUUUAAAUGUUCUUUAAAAUGAUGUUGAGUAUUUGACUUUAAGAAUAAAAUAAUUUUAAUUAA